GAGGAACAUCUUCGAAAGGAGACAAGGAGACACGAAGAAAGUUGAAAUGGCUGGAAUCGGACCACUUUCACAGGAUUGGGAACCGGUGGUCAUCAGGAAGAAGGCACCCAACGCCGCCGCAAAGAAGGAUGAGAAAGCGGUUAAUGCCGCACGGCGAGCCGGGGCAGAGAUUGAAACCAUAAAGAAAUCUGCUGCUGGGUCAAACAAAUCAGCCUCUAGCAGUACUAGUUUGAAUACUAGGAAGCUUGACGAAGAGACUGAGAACCUUUCUCAUGAUCGUGUCCCAACUGAGCUGAAGAAAGCAAUUAUGCAUGCUCGAACAGAGAAGAAGCUUACACAGUCUCAGCUUGCUCAGAUUAUUAAUGAAAAGCCUCAAGUUAUCCAGGAGUACGAGUCCGGAAAAGCUAUUCCAAAUCAACAAAUAAUAACCAAACUUGAGAGAGCUCUGGGAACAAAACUGCGUGGGAAGAAAUAAAGAGAUAUGGAAAGUUAAGUAUGAGUUCUGCAUAAGCUUUUGUUUGAACCAUGCGCAAAAAUUCAUACCCUACCAUGGUUUCAAUGUGUAAUUAUAUUCGACCACCCUCGUAUGCCUGUAUAACCACUGUUGCAGUGUCUUGGUAAGUUCUUACCUGGAAAUAAAUAAAUACCAUGUCUGUCAUGUUGCGUUAGUU
rnacentral:misc_RNA from 1 species